CGUCAUGACUCAAAACUUCUGAAUUCCACAUGUGUCCAACUACCGACGGUACACCAAUUUACCAAAAACACAAGCAAUUCUCUGUCACCUUCCUUUGAUUUUUCUCGUCCAUUAAAAAAAGCCCAACUAAAAAUAUCACCAACCGACUCAACUACAUAUAUAUCCUAACCGUCUAUUCCGCAUCUUUUCAUUCAAUCUUAGCCGUUGAUUUCUUCCACUUUCUCAAUAAAUACUCUUUCCCUUGCAUCUCGUUUCCUUCACCCCUUUCUUAUCUCAUCUUUAUGUUCUACCUUUACUCUCUAUCUCUGAAAUAUUAUCAAACUCUGAAUUUUUUAGAUCUAUUCUUCUGAGGUUUAAUCCGUUCAUUUGUUUUUCUCAAAUCGUUCAUAUCUUUUGACGAUCUAUGUUUAGAGUACAAUUUCUUUGGUGUUCUUCCAUGGAUGAUUUCGCAUAUCCGAUUCAUGACGCUUUUUGCUGCGGAGAUGAAGAUCGGUUUUGUUCUGAUUUGUUAUUCCAUGGACGUGAAUCGACGAAGUUGUGAUGAUUGAGGAAACGUGAAUCGCUUUCGUUUUGAUGGAUUUGCAAACGAUUUGAUCGAUUGAUUUGAUCUCGAUGAAAUCUUGGAUAAUCUGUCGUCUCCGACUCAAUUCAUUUAUUUCUACAAGCUCGUCUUGAUCUUUCAUAGUCGACCAUGUUUUCUACGGCGCCGGUAAAUUAAUGGAGCUUGAAGCAUCAGAAAUGGCUAUGGAUGUGGUUUGUAUGUAUUGGAAAUUUAUAAUGUUAAUUUAAGAUAUGAAUCUGUUAGGAUUCAUGUCUGUAUCUGCGAGGUGAGUGGUAAAGAAAAUUGUGAGUGAAAAUCAACGGACCUUUGCCAUGUUGGGUGCGCUCGCAUGGCAGGUCAACUAUCUUAAUAAAAAAGAAACAUUUUUUGGUUUUCGGGGAAGAUGGCACGGGGUUUUGCCCGGCUCUUCUCCGUUGUGUGUGCGUCUCUAUACUUUCUUCUCUCUUCUCUACUCUUUCUUUAUCGGACAAUUUUGAACCUGUUCGCGACUCCAUCAGUAUAUCAACACAACAAUCCUACCAAUACGGCAAUUCUCAAAGGUAUUUCCUAUCCAAUACUGAACUUCUGAGUUAACUUAUUUGAUUUCGUUCCAAUCAUUUUAAUUACUUUGUGCAACUAAAUUUAACUGAAUUUAAUAAUUAGAAGAGGCGACAUAUGUUAAUUUUUGUGACUAAUGUUCCCUGAGAACGUCUUUCAACCUCUAAAAAUGUCGGUUAACCUUGGCAGCCUUAUUGUAACCAUUCCACAUGCAGUUGUUUAUUUCAAUUCUUCAUACAUAGUAAGAAUCAUUGCAAAAGAACUGUAGAAUAUUUAGAGAAUAAUCAGGAGAUUUGGGUCUUAUCACCAUAUUAUUUAUCAUCUAUGUUACAUCAGUUCUCAACUUUACUCACUUUUAACAUAAAUCCUAAUUCAUCUAUGUUACAUCAGUUGAACUUUGCUCAAUUUAAACAUAAAUAAACUAUAAUCUUCUAUGUCCGAAGUUGAAAGCAAAAAAAAUGGUAGAUUAUUUAUAACACAUCCAGGAGAUUAUAUCAUCUAUGUUACAUAACCUGCUGAUCAUAUUAAAUAUUCAUUUCAAUCUUUCUCAAUUUUAAUUUAUAUCAUACUCGUGACGUCCGAAACAGAAAGUACAAACCAAGCACUGCGGAUAUUGGGUGGCUUUCAAUCUUUAGGUUUCUUUUUCUCAUGCUUUUGUUGUCCUUUUAUAUUUCUAUUGCAAGUAUUUGUUUAUGAUCAAAAUGGAGAGUGCAAUUUUUGGCCUCUGGAAAACCACUAUUUUCAAUGGUAUCGCUUGUGAUUAUAUCUAGAAAAAAAAUUCGUGGUAUUGUAGUAGAUAACAUUCUUAUGCCUUAAGUGGAUGUUAAGUUUGUAAUCGUAGGGUGUAGAUAACAGCUGAUGUGUUUUUAGUGAAGGUAGGCAUGUUAUCGAUUAGGGUAGUGAAUGUAUCGAAUGUAGAUGUAGCAAGCUUUCGUAUGUGGAGAUCGGCAGUGCGGGUCAAAUGCAGGUAGGAUGGCGGCGGCUGAUGCGUGGGGACGUGGAUGGCGACGGCUGAUGCAUGGGGACGUGAAUGGCGACUGCUGAUGCAAUGGGAUAGCUUGAUGUUGAUGCUUUAUUGAGUUAGUUCAAGUGGCUCAAAUUGGUGCUCUAUUUGUAUCUCAUCACAAUAGGAAUUGGCAAAGAUUAAAGCUCGCAUGGAGUCUUUUGUAUGCUACAUACUGUCAAGUUGUCUUGGAUCAUUUAUCUGGGAAUCUGGAUCUGGAGAUGUCUUCAAGAAUUACUGUUGUGCUGUAUUGAAGCGUAUAUAAAGCUUUUCGUUGGUGAUUUUGUCUUGGUGAGGAACUGCUAAACUUUGCAAUGUUCGUUCAGUAAUCUUCUUUACCCUGAAAUUUGUUACUAGCAGUUUAGUACAAGUAUUUUUUGUUAUACUUACUUUCCUGUUCUUUGGUUAUUAUCCUUUUUUUUUCCGGUUAUUUUCUUUUUUUUCCCCUUACUAUGUUUCUUGGAGAUUAUUGUAGUUCCUUUUCAUAUUGGAUGUGUUAUAUUUUAUUAA